UACGUAGGGACCAAGCGUUGUCCGGAAUCAUUGGGCGUAAAGAGCGUGUAGGCGGCUUGUUAAGUCUUGCGUGAAAUCUCGGGGCUCAACCCCGAGCGGUCGUGAGAAGCUGGCAGGCUAGAGUGCGGGAGAGGAGAGUGGAAUUCCUGGUGUAGCGGUGAAAUGCGCAGAUAUCAGGAAGAACACCCGUGGCGAAGGCGGCUCUCUGGAACGCAACUGACGCUGAGACGCGAAAGCGUGGGGAGCAAACAGG
rnacentral:rRNA from 1 species